rnacentral:lncRNA from 1 species
UUUUUGUUAUUGUUUUUAUUUUAUUUAUUUAUUGAAUUAAUUAAAAAAUAAAAAAAUGAAAAAAAAUUGCAAGAAAACAAAAAAACACCAAAUAGGAAGAAAUGGCCAGCAAUUUACUGCCAUAAGAAGCCAAAAUUCUUAGGAGCUUCAGCUCCAUUACCUUACAAAUCAGACCUAGAACCAGCUUACAGGUCACAACAAAAACUUCAUAGAUAAGAGAGGAGCACUCGACCAUCAAAGGGGAGGGGAGGAAAUACACAGAGAGCAAAAGAGCAAAAUUUUCUCAAUACCUACGUCCUUCUGCCCAAGAAAACUGAAAGGCACCUUUCAACAAAUCCCACACCCAAACGAAAUCUAACCAAAAACUGUCCAAACACCAACACGAAGCAUCUCCCUAGAGAACCAGUCCCAGCGCAGUCCCUACCCUCAUUGCCGCACCAACCCCCAGCCAAGGCCCCAUUCAUAGACCACCACUGCCACUCAAGCCACCGUUACCACUUUAAAGACGCAAAACCAAGCCACCAAACGCCAUUACCAAAGAACCAGAACACCCAGACUUGAUCACUCUCACAGCACCUAGCACCAACACCCAAAACCCCGAGACCAAAAAAAAAAAAAUUGGCCCUCGCUCGCACCUUUGCUGACAGCAGUACUAGUUACGGCACUAGCCCUCGCCCUCGCCCUCGCCCUCACCCUUGCCCACAGGAGAACCAGCCCUUGCAUCAGUCCUGACCCCAGUCCCUGCACACAUCCAGUCCUAUCCUCACCUGGACCACCCUCAUAAGCAACAAAACACCGAGACCCAUUUGGCCACAGCACUGGCCCUCCUAAAACACCCUCACCCAGCCUUGACCGUCACAAGAUUCAUUAGUUGUAAAAAAUUACAAACAUACAUCAAAUCAUCAGCUUUACUCAACAAUCAAUACUCAUAAGAUACUCUCAAUCUUCUCUAGUCAUAUAAAGUAUUCUCAACCCAAACAAACCCAAAUCCAAAUCUUUGUGCACCCUUUCAACAUAACCAAACACAUACCUAUAUGCUCCUAUAUAUCAUACUUAUGUGGACCCUCUCAGUCUCUUCUAAUCCACUCACAAACAAACAUACACACCCAUUAAAAUAUUAAUUUAUUCCUAGUAACAAGAAGAUUGAAUCGGAAAUAUCGACAGAUUCUUGUGGAGUCCAAAUAAAUAUGAAAAAAAAAAAGAAAUCUACUGUUCCAAUUUCAUCUCUAUCGAAUUUUAAUAUCAGAAUAGUGGAUAUAGUCACGAUUCAAUGGGUUAGAUCCACUUACUUUUUCUUUUGUUGAUUUCUAAUCUUUACAAUUCUUUACAAUGGAUUUGAUUGGAAUAAUAUAAUGCAAAAUAAAAAUAAAUAUAUAAAUAUAUAUUUGUCAAUUCAAGAGACGACUUAUCAUUGUAGAGCCUCAAUACUCUUAUGGGAUGUCCGUCUCAUAAAAUCUUAUAAUUUUC